UUUUCUCCAUUUAGCUUCUGAAUUGCUCAUGUCUUCUCCUCUUAGCAUUACACUCUCCUCAUCCCUUCGCUCUUCAUUACCUCUCCACCGCAAUGUUAACAUUUCCAACGUGCUCUGCACUCGUCAUUUGUACCUGCGGCAAAAACAGUUCCCUUCCAGGCAUCUGCUUCGUCUCUGCUCUGUUAAUAGUGAUCAUAAUGUUUACGAGUCACCAGAAUUUCAAAAUAGUCCUCUAGAUCAAAAAGGUACUGUAGGAAAAGAUGAAACUAGUCAAACUGAAUCACCCACAUCAAACACGGUUCUGACGAGAUUGAGAAGAUAUGGUGUUGUAGGAGUAUUAUCAUAUGGACUACUAAAUACUGCAUACUACCUUACUACCUUUCUUAUCGUGUGGUUUUAUGUUGCUCCAUCACCUGGAAGAAUGGGUUACCUUGCAGCAGUUGAACGGUUUCUCAAAGUAAUGGCCAUGGUAUGGGCUGGUAGCCAGGUUACAAAGAUUGUCCGAGCAGGCGGGGCUUUAGCUCUCGCUCCUUUUGUGGACACAGGAUUAUCAUGGUUUACAACCAAGAUGAAGUUUGAAUCACAAGGGAAAGCAUUCGCAGUUGUUGCCGGGUUUUGCUUUGCUUUGGCUUUUAUGCUGUUUCUCAUAAUUACAUUACUCUGGGCGUGAAAAUUUUCUGUUGUUCAUCCGUCCAAGUGGGGAUCUACCGAGUUCUUCUGCUGAAGUAGUGUAAGGAAAAGCAAAAUGGAGAUUCCUCUUCAACACAGCCCCUAUUUCCUUUUCCUGAAUUCAAUUUUCACUCACAAAG